GGGGAUCUAGCUUAGUUGGUAGAGUGCUUGCCUCAAAUGCACAAGGCCCUGGGUUCAACUCCCAGCACCA
rnacentral:tRNA from 1 species